GUGUCAGCAGCCGCGGUAAUACGAAGGGUGCAAGCGUUAAUCGGAAUUACUGGGCGUAAAGCGCGCGUAGGUGGUUCGUUAAGUUAGGAGUGAAAGCCCCGGGCUCAACCUGGGAAUUGCUUCUAAAACUGGCGAGCUAGAGUAUGGUAGAGGGUGGUGGAAUUUCCUGUGUAGCGGUGAAAUGCGUAGAUAUAGGAAGGAACAUCAGUGGCGAAGGCGACCACCCGGACUAAUACUGACACUGAGGUGCGAAAGCGUGGGGAGCAAACAGGAUUAGAUACCCUCGUAGUCC
rnacentral:rRNA from 1 species